rnacentral:tRNA from 1 species
GUAAAUAUAGUUUAACAAAAACAUUAGAUUGUGAUUCUAAAAAUAGAGGUUAGAUCCCCCUUAUUCACC